UACGGAGGGUGCGAGCGUUGUCCGGAAUCACUGGGCGUAAAGGGCGCGUAGGCGGCUGGGGAAGUCGGCGGUGAAAGCCCGGAGCUCAACUCCGGGUCGGCCGUCGAGACUCCUCGGCUCGAGCUCACUAGAGGCAGAUGGAAUUCCGGGUGUAGCGGUGGAAUGCGUAGAGAUCCGGAAGAACACCGGUGGCGAAGGCGGUCUGCUGGGGUGAGGCUGAC
rnacentral:rRNA from 1 species